UACGUAGGGUGCAAGCGUCAAUCGGAAUUACUGGGCGUAAAGCGUGCGCAGGCGGUGAUGUAAGACAGUUGUGAAAUCCCCGGGCUCAACCUGGGAACUGCAUCUGUGACUGCAUCGCUGGAGUGCGGCAGAGGGGGAUGGAAUUCCGCGUGUAGCAGUGAAAUGCGUAGAUAUGCGGAGGAACACCGAUGGCGAAGGCAAUCCCCUGGGCCUGCACCGACGCUCAUGCACGAAAGCGUGGGGAGCAAACAGG
rnacentral:rRNA from 1 species